GAGGGUAUAGCUCGAGCGGUAGAGCACAUGCUUAGUGUGCACAAGGUCCUGGGUUCAAUCCCCAUUACCUCCU
rnacentral:tRNA from 1 species